CGUCCACAUUGGCCGCAAACAUCGAACAUAUGUUUCAAGUCUCUCUCAACUUUCGACCGCAGCGGAACAUCGAGCGCACGAAAUCGGAAUAAUCGCCAGUGAGCCAAACGCCGCGUGUGAUCGAAAAUCCGGAAAGCCAAGCUAAACAAAAUCGAGGGGAAGCUGCGAGGUAACUGAACGCCACCCGCCCCCAGCCACGCCCCGCGGCCGUGUGAUAACAAAGAUAAUGCAAUAAAAGGCAAUAAAAGCUGCGAGAGAGCCAAGAAACGUGACCCAGGCAAAAUUUGUUUGUUUGUCUGCCUCCGCUUGCAUAUACAUAUACCGAGUAUAAACGUGCGUGAGAUUGUGUGUGUGUGAGCAGUCGUCGCGAUAGUAGUAGUAGUAACUCAGCAAACAACAACAAAUUCGUCUCGCGUUUUUUUACAAUAAUAAUUUAAAAAAUUACAAAAUUGUAUCCCCUAUCCCUCCUCUCUCUCUCGCACACACGCACGAAUAUUACCCCCGGCGCGUUUUUCGUCUGUCUCACUCUCGCAAAGGCGGAAGAGUUAAACAAAAAAAAUAGUAAAACAAAAAAAAGAAAAUAAAAACCAAAAACUGCCACUGUCGCUGCUCAAAGAUUUGUGCAUUUUUUAAGUUCUCCACAAUGUCCUCAAAUCUCAUUUAAAUAAGUAAAAAGUGUAAUAAGCGACGUGAACAACACGCAGCGAAAGGAAUAGCGUUGAAUAGAAGCACGCCAAACAGCAACAAAUGGCCAACAAUUGAAUGGCGGCCAUCAGUGGCCCCCCAGCGGCAUCCAUUGAGCAAU